GCCCGGGUGGCGUAACGGCAGCCGCGUGAGUUCGAGGGGCUCAUGCCCGAAAGGGCGUGUGGGUUCGAUUCCCACCCCGGGCACCG
rnacentral:tRNA from 1 species